rnacentral:rRNA from 1 species
AGACCCGAAACCCGGUGAUCUAGCCAUGGGCAGGUUGAAGGUUGGGUAACACUAACUGGAGGACCGAACCGACUAAUGUUGAAAAAUUAGCGGAUGACUUGUGGCUGGGGGUGAAAGGCCAAUCAAACCGGGAGAUAGCUGGUUCUCCCCGAAAGCUAUUUAGGUAGCGCCUCGUGAAUUCAUCUCCGGGGGUAGAGCACUGUUUCGGCAAGGGGGUCAUCCCGACUUACCAACCCGAUGCAAACUGCGAAUACCGGAGAAUGUUAUCACGGGAGACACACGGCGGGUGCUAACGUCCGUCGUGAAGAGGGAAACAACCCAGACCGCCAGCUAAGGUCCCAAAGUCAUGGUUAAGUGGGAAACGAUGUGGGAAGGCCCAGACAGCCAGGAUGUUGGCUUAGAAGCAGCCAUCAUUUAAAGAAAGCGUAAUAGCUCACUGGUCGAGUCGGCCUGCGCGGAAGAUGUAACGGGGCUAAACCAUGCACCGAAGCUGCGGCAGCGACACUGUGUGUUGUUGGGUAGGGGAGCGUUCUGUAAGCCUGUGAAGGUGUGCUGUGAGGCAUGCUGGAGGUAUCAGAAGUGCGAAUGCUGACAUAAGUAACGAUAAAGCGGGUGAAAAGCCCGCUCGCCGGAAGACCAAGGGUUCCUGUCCAACGUUAAUCGGGGCAGGGUGAGUCGACCCCUAAGGCGAGGCCGAAAGGCGUAGUCGAUGGGAAACAGGUUAAUAUUCCUGUACUUGGUGUUACUGCGAAGGGGGGACGGAGAAGGCUAUGUUGGCCGGGCGACGGUUGUCCCGGUUUAAGCGUGUAGGCUGGUUUUCCAGGCAAAUCCGGAAAAUCAAGGCUGAGGCGUGAUGACGAGGCACUACGGUGCUGAAGCAACAAAUGCCCUGCUUCCAGGAAAAGCCUCUAAGCAUCAGGUAACAUCAAAUCGUACCCCAAACCGACACAGGUGGUCAGGUAGAGAAUACCAAGGCGCUUGAGAGAACUCGGGUGAAGGAACUAGGCAAAAUGGUGCCGUAACUUCGGGAGAAGGCACGCUGAUAUGUAGGUGAAGUCCCUCGCGGAUGGAGCUGAAAUCAGUCGAAGAUACCAGCUGGCUGCAACUGUUUAUUAAAAACACAGCACUGUGCAAACACGAAAGUGGACGUAUACGGUGUGACGCCUGCCCGGUGCCGGAAGGUUAAUUGAUGGGGUCAGCGCAAGCGAAGCUCUUGAUCGAAGCCCCGGUAAACGGCGGCCGUAACUAUAACGGUCCUAAGGUAGCGAAAUUCCUUGUCGGGUAAGUUCCGACCUGCACGAAUGGCGUAAUGAUGGCCAGGCUGUCUCCACCCGAGACUCAGUGAAAUUGAACUCGCUGUGAAGAUGCAGUGUACCCGCGGCAAGACGGAAAGACCCCGUGAACCUUUACUAUAGCUUGACACUGAACAUUGAGCCUUGAUGUGUAGGAUAGGUGGGAGGCUUUGAAGUGUGGACGCCAGUCUGCAUGGAGCCGACCUUGAAAUACCACCCUUUAAUGUUUGAUGUUCUAACGUGGACCCGUGAUCCGGGUUGCGGACAGUGUCUGGUGGGUAGUUUGACUGGGGCGGUCUCCUCCUAAAGAGUAACGGAGGAGCACGAAGGUUGGCUAAUCCUGGUCGGACAUCAGGAGGUUAGUGCAAUGGCAUAAGCCAGCUUGACUGCGAGCGUGACGGCGCGAGCAGGUGCGAAAGCAGGUCAUAGUGAUCCGGUGGUUCUGAAUGGAAGGGCCAUCGCUCAACGGAUAAAAGGUACUCCGGGGAUAACAGGCUGAUACCGCCCAAGAGUUCAUAUCGACGGCGGUGUUUGGCACCUCGAUGUCGGCUCAUCACAUCCUGGGGCUGAAGUAGGUCCCAAGGGUAUGGCUGUUCGCCAUUUAAAGUGGUACGCGAGCUGGGUUUAGAACGUCGUGAGACAGUUCGGUCCCUAUCUGCCGUGGGCGCUGGAGAACUGAGGGGGGCUGCUCCUAGUACGAGAGGACCGGAGUGGACGCAUCACUGGUGUUCGGGUUGUCAUGCCAAUGGCACUGCCCGGUAGCUAAAUGCGGAAGAGAUAAGUGCUGAAAGCAUCUAAGCACGAAACUUGCCCCGAGAUGAGUUCUCCCUGACCCUUUAAGGGUCCUGAAGGAACGUUGAAGACGACGACGUUGAUAGGCCGGGUGUGUAAGCGCAGCGAUGCGUUGAGCUAACCGGUACUAAUGAACCGU